GAUGAACGCUGGCGGCGUGCCUAAUACAUGCAAGUCGAGCGAACGGACGAGAAGCUUGCUUCUCUGAUGUUAGCGGCGGACGGGUGAGUAACACGUGGAUAACCUACCUAUAAGACUGGGAUAACUUCGGGAAACCGGAGCUAAUACCGGAUAAUAUUUUGAACCGCAUGGUUCAAAAGUGAAAGACGGUCUUGCUGUCACUUAUAGAUGGAUCCGCGCUGCAUUAGCUAGUUGGUAAGGUAACGGCUUACCAAGGCAACGAUGCAUAGCCGACCUGAGAGGGUGAUCGGCCACACUGGAACUGGGACACGGUCCAGACUCCUACGGGAGGCAGCAGUAGGGAAUCGUCCGCAAUGGGCGAAAGCCUGACGGAGCAACGGCGCGUGAGUGAUGAAGGUCUUCGGAUCGUAAAACUCUGUUAUUAGGGAAGAACAUAUGUGUAAGUAACUGUGCACAUCUUGACGGUACCUAAUCAGAAAGCCACGGCUAACUACGUG
rnacentral:rRNA from 1 species